UGUAGUACAAAUACGCUCCAAACAAAAGAUGUCAACACUCAGGCCUGAUUUCCGCAGAAACCGAGACAGUACCCACUGCCAGCAGCAGAUGGGAAGUCUAAACAGGAGAGACUGAAUAAAGCUGACAACUGAGGCAGGAUAAAGAAGAGAAGGAACAAAGAAGGAGGGGGCAGGAAAAGAAGCCAAGCAGAACAUGCUAGCCUGUCGAUUUUGUCUUCCAUUAAGGCUUCAGCAGAAGAUAAGAAAAGCUAAGCCACGUCAGUGAAGGGAGGACAGCAGGAAGGCUUUCAGGGGAAGAUUUGUGGUGUGGAUUCACUCGGCAUUGAUGAGAGCAGCUCCCCAGACAGAUACCGAGAAUGAAAAACCAAACCAGUGACCAGGAAGAGAAGAUAUGAAGAAAAAUAUAAGUACAUCUUUUAUUGUAAAAAUGAAUAACUAUAGGCUAUAGACUGAAUGUGGAAGCCUAAAUCCCUAGUGUGAUGGUAUUGGGAGGUGGGGCUUUGGGAUGCGAUUAUUAAUAGGUCAAGAGGGUGGUGCCCUCAUGAAUGAGAUUAGUGUCCACAUAAGAAAAGACGCAAAAGAGAUAUCUCUCCCUCCCCAUCCCCACACGGCAUAAGAAUACAAGACAGCUCUCUGCAAACCAAAAAGAAAGCCCUCACCAGACUGGAUCUGCCAGCACCUUGAUCUUGGACUUCUCAACCUCCAGAACUGUGAGAAAUAAAUCUCUGUUUUCUAAGUCACCCAGUCUAUUGUAUUUUUUAUAGCAGCC
rnacentral:lncRNA from 10 species